rnacentral:rRNA from 1 species
UACGUAGGGAGCAAGCGUUGUCCGGAAUCAUUGGGCGUAAAGCGCGCGUAGGCGGCCCCGUAAGUCCGCUGUGAAAGUCAAAGGCUCAACCUUUGAAAGCCGGUGGAUACUGUGGGGCUAGAGUCCGGAAGAGGCGAGUGGAAUUCCUGGUGUAGCGGUGGAAUGCGCAGAUAUCAGGAGGAACACCGAUAGCGAAGGCAGCUCGCUGGGACGGUACUGACGCUAAGGCGCGAAAGCGUGGGGAGCGAACAG